UGUCAAACUGAAAAUGACAACAAAAAACUAAAAAAAAUUACAUUCUAUUUGUUUCAUUAAAACUUGAACUCUUAUUGAGGACCUAGAGACAAAAAAAUGUAAAAAAAAAAAAAGGUAUUUUAAUUAUGGUCAGUCAGUUUAUGUAGAGUUCACAUUAAUUAAAAAAAAAAAAGAAAAGUUAAGUCUGAACAGUAAAAUUUGAUUCAUGUCAUGUCAUCAACUUAUGGCUCUUUACUGCCACACUGUUUCUCUGAGAGGGCCAGUACAUCAAACCCUACUGUCCACAUAAAACGAAACUGAUGUGGACGACUGAUGUGUCUGCAGGUAGAGAGGGGGCGCUGGGGACCCCUUAAGGUGUACCUGAUACUUUCUCACAGCCUCUCGCUCUAAUAACUCCAACUCCCAUCUCGGAGAAACCUCGGCACAUGACUGAUCAAUGUCGACAGGUAGUUUCACAGUCACCGCUCGUUUUUGCUACACAACAGGACGGAACGCAUUUCCUGCAGGGCUAAGCUGUUGUACUAUGUAUGCAUUUUAUAUUAAACUUUAUUUAUGUUUUUUUUUUUUUUAAGGGCAGUUGGAAAAUGCUUCCACACAAUAAAAUCAGGAAAGCACUUUGCAAAAACAGAGCAGUAAGCAACUCUUUUAAAUGAAUUAAUCAACUUCCUGUAUAGGAGGAGAAGCACUGCACUUCUUAAAGCAUAAAAGUGAACACAUCAAAUGUAGUUUUAGCUCUUUUCCACUGAUGACAACAUUGUUUAAAUCAAGCCUCUAGUCACUUUGUGCCUGUAACUAAUAAGAGACAACGCAGCAAACAGUUUAACAGAAGAGCUAAAACACAACGCCGCUAAUGCACAGGUUUCUGGUUUCUCUGCUGUCGAACAUUGGGCGGACACUGGAGCUGCCAACUUUAAUCACAUCUCAACAGGCAGCACGUCAUAUGGUCAGGCAGAAAACAGCAGCCAUUGGCCAGCAGCAGUUCCCAUGGAGACCACUGUCUCCUCUCCCUUCCCGAGGAAGCCUAAACUGUGAGUGAAAAUGGGACGAUUCCUAUAAAUUGUUUCCUAAUCUUGUUAUUUCUUAUUUCCAUGCUGAAAUGGAUAUUGGAUUACAAGUGAGCGACGAAGGGAGGGUAGAAAUGAGACAUGGAAGUUUUCUUAUUUGACGUUGCAGGGAAUGCUGCAGUAUGGACAGUAACAUCCACUUCAGUGCUUGGUUUUACUGCACUCUGUUGAUAAAGACUGGAGUCAUUAUGUUUUGCUCACUCUGCUCUGCGUUUCUGGACAAUGACUCUGACUACUAUGGUCAUGAGUUCAUUUCCAACAGUAAAACACUAACAUGCUCAAAAAUGAGUUGCAAACAUAAAACUAUUUUAAAUAUUGGUGGACUUUUUAGUUUAAUUUUUGUUUUAGGUGCUAAUUAAAAUAUUAAAAAUACUAAUAACAUGUUUUUCCAAUGUUGUCACACCAAAAGAGAGAAUUUGUAAACCACAAGUUCACAUACAAUCACAACAGAAUUAAAUUUUGUUCUUAUUAACUGCAAGAAAAAAAAUAGUUUGAAGAAAUAUUUUUUCUGUAGGUGGUGCUAAAAACAUGUUUUAAAGUCUCUUUUCAUGGCUGAAGUGCACAGGUAUGUACAACCGUAUUGUUGUGUUGUUGACUUGGCGUCCCAACAUAUUGAAGUUUAGUGCUCAUGUUUUCUUUAUUGCUAUACUUUUGGUAACAUAUUUGCACCUCAUCUUACAGAUUGAACUCCAUGAACUUGUCCAUUUAAUGUAAACACUGAAUAACCAAUAAUCACCUCCAGGGUUAAUUAGUUCCAUCAGCCUCACCUGUGUCCUGUGUGUCUCUGUUAAUCAGUCUCACUUGUCUCACCUGGUGACCUGGGUAUAAAUACCACUCUCUGUCUUUGUUCGACCGUUGUUGUGUAUUGCUCCUGUUCUGGGGCUACAUGAAGGUGUUAUGGUUCUUGUUCUCCUCCUGUUUCACCUCUUUUCCUGGCUGGCCGUGGUUUCUUGAGCCUUAGAGAUUCUCAGUGAUAAAUCCUGGACUGUACCUCCCUGAACUUUGCUGCUUAGUGAAGGGAGGAAACGAGGACAGGGGGAGCUGCUGACACGCCGACAUUGAUGAAGAACUCCAACCAAGGUCUUGGACCAGCACCAUUUAGGAGAGAUUGAUUAUCCAAUUAACAUCUGGCGUGAUUUCAAGUUUUAUACUGUAAGGAGUCGAACACGUUGGACAUUUCUCUUGCCGUGCUCUGCCCCUCAUUAGGAUACUUCGUCGGAUGCUUCCACACCACUAGAGACACCAUUCCACUGAUUAGGCUAAUUGUUCAGCCCAUAGACCCAACAUUCAGGUACGUAUGGAUUGACCAUUCGUCUCACUGUAAUGAAAUCCCCAGGGCUGUACAAACCGUAGCACCCAAGGAGUCAUUUAAUUCAGAGACGCAGGUUUCUGUGCCACUCUCAUCAGCGGCCUCGUUAAUCCCAUAGUCCUUCCUCUCCGCAGCCCGACUGUCACACUAACAGAAUAUCCCUAAAUCAAAGAGACAAGCUGUGAGAUUCAGCUGUGAGGGGACAGAGUGGCAUUAAUGAAAAUGGGAAAAAAAUUGGGUGAUUGCAUUAGGAGCUGGCUCACUCACCAAUGGUUGUGAGCACAGAUUGGAAGACGAGAGUUUGUGGGAGAUAGUACAACAUAAGGGUAUUACUGUAAUUUUAGAGGUGUUUGGACAGAAGAAUAUUCACUAAAAUAUGUUUUGCUUGUUUUAAAUGGCCACUAGGUGUGUAUAAUGGAGUGUUUAUCAGGAAUACCAUCGCUUCUGUCUAAUUCUUCAGCUGCUUUUUUUUUCUACCUUUGAAUGUUUCCCGGUAGAAAAAGUUCAGAGUAGAUAAGAGACCCAGUAGGUGUCGGAUAUGGAACUGUGAGGCUGCCAGUUCCCAUCAGAAACAAUAGGA